AUGGACGGCGAGGGCUCCUGGCGCUUCCUCUACGACUCCGACAGCGAUGACGAGCUCCUCCGCUUUGCCCGAGGGGACAAGGCCGUGCCCGCUGAGCGCCACCAGCAGCAACAGGUUCUGGCGGCUCACGACGACGCCCAGCCGGCCUUCGCGGUUGCAAGAGCCGCCGCGGACGCACAGCCCGUCGUCUCUGAUCAGCAAAUGAUGGCCGGCUUGCCAUCGGCGUCGGCAAUGCAACUCGAUCACCAUCAGGCGCCUCCCAUGGUCCACGUGCAGCAGCUUCAACCGGCGCCGCCGAUGGCAUUCCAACCCCAGCAGGCGCCUUCCAUGGUACAUUCUCAUUACCCUCAACCAGCGCCGGCGAUGCCACUCCAGCGUCAACCUGGCGAUUCGCCGGCAACGGUGCCAUUCCAUGUUGGCCAGAACCAGCACAUGAUGGGCGAGUCGUUGUCGGCGAUGCCACUCCAUCACCAGCAGAUGCUAGUCGACUCGCCGGCCACGAUGCAACUCCAACACCAGCAGAUGCAAGGCCUAAGCGAGCCGUCGCCGGAGGUGAUGUCCGCACUCGAAUACCAGCAGAUAAUGGCCAAUCUGGGUCUUACUGACCUCUACGUAGAAGACGAAGAAGUACACCUCCCUGGCGGCAGUGGCACCCCCAGCAUCCCGGACAUGGAGCCACCGGUGGUGGCGCAUGGCCUUCAGGGCGACAAAAUACCGAAGCCGUCACAGGAAGGUGGAGAGGGCCAGUUCUUCGCCCCUGCGCCGCAGCCCGGCGACGAUUCGGGUCCCAGUGGCGCCGCCAGCAUCCCGGACCCGGACCCGCCGGUGACGGCUCCGGCAGUGGCACCAGCGCAGCCAGAGCAAGAAUCGUGCGAACACUGUUACGUCGUCAGAGAGGUCAGGAACCACAGCGCGUUAGGGCCGGUGACCUUGUCGGUGCACCGCGCGACGGACGGAACAUACACGCACAUUAUCCUCGAACUCAAAGGCACCGCCGCCCAAGGCCCAAAUUCCGGCACCCAACGAAUUUACAGGUGCCUGCGCGACCUCACGCCCGAGUCGGUUCCUGAGUAUGUUGAGUCCUGCAUCCGCAAGAUGAGGAACAAAGCCGGUCCGCUGGAGGACGUCAUCGGCAGCGCCGCCGCCGCCAGCAGCUCUACCAUGGUCCGCGCUCCUCCGGAGAACCCCGGCUUGCCCUGGGCGCCAGAGAGGGGCACGCGGCGGCCUGCGCCGCCGACGCCGCCCACCGAGCAAGAGGAAAAGGAGACGCGGCGGUACCUUCGUGACGCCGCGGACAUGGCCGUGAGGGAGCUGGGAUCGCUGGCCUCCGAGGUCAGGAGCGUCCGCAACCAAAGAGCUCCAGACAGUAAUAAUCGCAAAGUUCUAUUUAGCAGGCUAAGAGAACUCAACCAUAAGAUCAAGAGAUUCGAGAAGGACUCGGCCAAGCGUGUGGGGAGUGAACUGUCCAAGAUCAGGAGGGAGGUGGAUGGCUUUGUGAUGGAGAAAAGACAACUGUACGAUAUUCUUAAGGAGCUGAUGCAGAGGGUAACCAAGAACUGCCACCGCGUCCCUCCCCGUGGAAAUGACGAUCAGGCCGGUGGCAGCGGCGCCGCCGGUGCUGCCGUGUCGUAA
rnacentral:rRNA from 1 species